UCUCAGCUGACCAGCCUGCUUGCUUGCAUAAAGCUGUGUUCUGUCUCAUCAUUGAACUGCCACAACUGGCGCCCAAACGUGGGGCCCUCAGCACUCACCUCGCCCGGCAAGGGUUUCAGACGCGUCACUCAUCCGCUUCGUGGAUCCCGGGCUGGUGGACACUGGAGCUGACGUUACGGUGAUUCGUGAUCUGGAGUGGCCGGACCGUUGUGGGUUCCAGCUCGGUGUGUGCGACCGGCACUUAAACAACAUGGCAUGGCACCAGGGGCUGUCGAAUCCCAUACCAGAGUUUCAGCUGACCUUGGAGGAGA